rnacentral:rRNA from 1 species
UACGUAGGGGGCAAGCGUUGUCCGGAUUUAUUGGGCGUAAAGAGCGUGUAGGCGGCCGUGUAGGUCCGUUGUGAAAACUCGAGGCUCAACCUCGAGACGUCGAUGGAAACCACACGGCUAGAGUCCGGAAGAGGAGAGUGGAAUUCCUGGUGUAGCGGUGAAAUGCGUAGAUAUCUGGAGGAAUACCGGUGGCGAAGGCGGCAUCCUGGACCGACAUUGACGCUGAGGAGCGAAAGCUAGGGGAGCAAACGGG